UAGCCUAAUGGCUAAGGGUACGGAUUUCCGAUCACGAGGUCGCGGGUUCGAAUCCCGC
rfam:Papilio xuthus contig17282, whole genome shotgun sequence.